rnacentral:rRNA from 1 species
AUUCCAGCUCCAAUAGCGUAUAUUAAAGUUCGUUGCGGUAAAAAAGCUCGUAGUUGGAUUUCUGUUGAAGACGUCCGGUCCAUACCACGUAUGCGCAUCUGGCUCGGCUUCGGCAUCCUCUCGAAAGACGUUUCUGCGCUUGAUUGCGUGGAGCGGAUCUCGGGACUUUUACUUUGAGGAAAUUAGAGUGUUCACGGCAGGCUAUCGCCAGAAUACAUUAGCAUGGAAUAAUACUAUAGGAUCUCGGUUCUAUUUUGUUGGUUUCUAGAAUUGAGAUAAUGAUUAAUAGGGACAAUUGGGGGCAUUCGUAUCAACACGUUAGAGGUGAAAUUCUUGGAUCGUGUUGCGACGAACUACUGCGAAAGCAUUUGCCAAGGAUGUUUUCAUUGAUCAAGAACGAAAGUAAGGGGAUCGAAGACGAUUAGAUACCGUCGUAGUCUUUACCAUAAACUAUGCCAACUAGAGAUGGGACAUCGUUCACUUAAGACUUGUUCCGCACCUUAUGAGAUAUCAAAGUCUUUGGGUUCCGGGGGGAGUAUGGUCGCAAGUCUGAAACUUAAAGGAAUUGACGGAAGGGCACCACCAGGAGUGGAGCCUGCGGCUUAAUUUGACUCAACACGGGGAAACUCACCAGGUCCAGACAUAAUAAGGAUUGACAGAUUGAUAGCUCUUUCUUGAUUUUAUGGGUGGUGGUGCAUGGCCGUUCUUAGUUCGUGGAGUGAUUUGUCUGCUUAAUUGCGUUAACGAACGAGACCUUAACCUGCUAAAUAGGAGCGCCUAUCUCCGGAUAAGCGCCUUUCUUCUUAGAGGGACUUUAUGCGUUUCAGCAUGAGGAAGUUUGAGGCUAAA